UAAAAUUGAGAAAUUAGGGUUACUCUGUUGCGUCGUAUCAAAUCCUCUGAACUUCUUCCCCUUCACUCGCGAGCGGCGGCACGGUGAGCUUCGCUCUCCUCUCCGAUCGAAAAAUUACAGCACCGCCGUGAACCUCCUUGCUUCGAUCAUCACCUCUUCGUCUCUCAAUCCAACUCUCCAUCUCAGAUCCGUUACAUCUCGCCCCCGAUAAGCAAGAGGCUCAAUGAAGAUGGCGAGAAAUCCAGAGGCAAUACUUUGCUUCUUCUUCCUCUUUUACAUUCCGUAGAUCGUGACGUGUGCUGAUGAUAUUGUUUGUAUAUGAUUCGGCCAAAGUGAUGAAUGUUGAAGUUGUAAAUCGAUGAUGAUGAUGAUGAUGAUGCAGAAGUGUUGUAGUGAUAAGGAUAUCGAUUCAAAGAAGCCAAAGGUUCAAGGUUGAAUCUCGAUGCGGGGUUGAUGAUUCGGUUGCGAAUAGAUGAAGACGAUUGGCGAACUGUGAUGCUUCUGCGGAGUGAUUGAUGAAGAAUUCCGAUGAAGAUUCCGCAAUGAAUCAAAUCACGGCUAAGAGGUGUCGAAGAUUGGAGAAUAUUGAAGAUUGAGAGGGGGAAGAAUUGAAGAUUUCUGAACUGUUAUUGAAUAGUUAUGGAGAGUGGAGAGGAAGAUUGAAGAUGGCUGAAGCUUGAGGAUUGAAUUGAAGAAGGUGAAGGAGAUGGAUGAAGUUGCAGAGAGUGAAGUGAAGAUGAUGUGGAGGUGGAGAUGAAUGGGGAAGAGCAAAAAUGGUGAAGGGAGAGUGAAAGUGAAGAGAGAGUUGAACUUUGAUGAAUGAUGAAGAUGGAAAUGGUGUGAAGUGGAGAGAGCUUGAAGAAUGAAUUGAAGAAGACCCUGAACAAUGGUGAAGCCCCUGUUAUAUAGAGUUGAAGGGCUGUUUUCGAUCCGAAACUGUGCAGCGGAUUCAUGUUGGUUAAAUCCGUUGUUUGAAUAGAGUAUUAGGUUGUAAGUCCAACUCCAAUCAUCAGGAGCGUCCCUCCGAGAACCAUGGUUUAGGCAGUACCUCAGAAGCCGCUACUGAAUUCAAAGGUUGACAGUCAAGAUCCAACUCUUAUGGCAAAGCGAAUUCUGAAUCACCAUUGAAUGUCUCAUAAAGGCCUUUGUGUAGCGUCCUGGAAAUAGAAUGAAUGCUUUAGCAUAUGUGUAUGCUGGUUUGAACUUGACAGUAUUUUGUUUAUAAUCUUAUUGAAGGAUCUUGACUUGAAGUGUGGAAUGGCUGCCAUCCUUUUUGUAUGCAGGGAGCUAUUGUCUUGGUUGAAUGGUUUGAAGCUUUGAAGCAAACACACAAUUGAUGGAAGCUUAAAAUUAGGACAGUAGGCUAAGAGCAAAUUUUGUGGUUUGUCUUGUUGUAAAUGUAAUGUAAUGUAGUGUAAUGGUGUAUUUGGUACUGUACUGAUGUAAUGAUGAUGGCCUUGUAAUAACAUAACUCUUUUUUCAAAUAAAUGAAAUUAGAAUCCUUUCUUCCUUUUUUUUUUA